UUAAGCUUCUUCUUCGAACUCAUUUUAUUCGAGCUGCAUAAAUGCAAAUGUUAGAGACGCGUUAAAUUACGCGUUCGAUCGGCGAAAAACGAUCAGCUUUUGCAUGGAUAUGCAAGUGGUGGAAGGGCGAAGAAGCAUACGGCUUGUACCGUCUUACGUUAUUCGAGACCAUCAGUCUGAGUUGGAAACAGUUGGAAGAAAGGCGACAAUAUCGAAUGAUUCUCACAAUUGGAUUCCAACUUCGAGUUACACAGAAUGUUUUCACAGCGGAAGGCAACGAACAAAACUGUAGUCUUGUAGAGGUUUUCGAGUCACAGAGGAUCGACUGUAUUAGAAGAAUGCAGCGACAACAAUACCGUGAUAUUUCAUCGUAGCAAUUCGAACAAUAGUCAAGAAUUACGAGGUGGAUCUUUCGCGCCGAUUGAAGACUGCAGCGACAAGACGCCCAUGAAAUAGGCUUAGAAAUCUGUUAUAAUUUUAUU